CUAAGAGGACUGCCGGUGACAAACCGGAGGAAGGUGGGGAUGACGUCAAGUCAUCAUGGCCCUUACGGCCUGGGCUACACACGUGCUACAAUGGUCGGUACAAAGGGUUGCCAAGCCGCGAGGUGGAGCUAAUCCCAUAAAACCGAUCGUAGUCCGGAUCGCAGUCUGCAACUCGACUGCGUGAAGUCGGAAUCGCUAGUAAUCGUGAAUCAGAAUGUCACGGUGAAUACGUUCCCGGGCCUU
rnacentral:rRNA from 1 species